GUGUGUGUGUGUGUGUGUGUGUGUGUGUGUGUGUGUGUGUACGCGUGAAUACCUUUAUAUGAGUUGUAGUAGUGUAUUGGUUGAUUAUUUAUACUUUAUUGCUCUUUAUAUGUGUUCUUUCUUGUUCUUUCGUAUAUUCUCCAUGUAGGUUCUUCAUGUUCUUCGUGUACAACUGAAAACUCAACCCACUAACCCGACCCCCGUCAACUCAUCCCGCUAACUUAACUAUUGACGCCAUUAAUAUAUUCGUUUAUUCUCUUGUUCAUUUGUCUAUGUCUCUCUGUUUGGCUAUAUAUAUCAAGUCUAUAUACAGAAAACCCAAGAUGAUUACGACACCCAACCCUUGUCUUCCACCGCCUCAUUUUCCCACAGCUUCCACAGCCCUCAUUCAUUGGUGGGAGGUAGAACAGGGGCAGGUAUAGAGGUGUGUUGCCCCAAGCCGUGGCCAAGAAACAGGUGUUCGGCCCCACCUUGGCGAGGCAGCAACAGUCUUAUCGGUUGCCCUCACGGCGGCUCGUAUCGGCCCUUAACUGGUAUAUUCCUGCCUGAACCAUGACCGCCAGACGUUGCCCUCACGAUACCUGUCACUAUCUGCUCGUUGAUUGACACCUGGGAGAGUGGGGAGGGGGGAAGCGAGAGAGAAAUAAAAACAAGAGGAGAGAGGAACUAAGAAAAAAAACGAGGAAUGGGAUGAAGGUGAAGGUUAAGAGAGGAAAAAUCGUUAAAACAGAAAUGAGGAAAAGGAAGGACGAAAUGAAGGAAAGUAGAAGUACAUAAGAACAUAAGAACAUAAAAACAUAGGGAGAUUGCAAGAGGCCGAGUGAUGAUCAGAAGGAGAAGGUAGAAAGUAAUAUAAAGGGAAGGACUUUAUAGAAGACUGUUGCUUUCUCUCUGUAUCCUGAUCUCUUUUUUCGAUAACGACUUGUGAGGAAUCUUAAAAUUCAUAAAAUCACGUUCAACUUUUUCGGACACGUUAGUGAAGUAUUUUAUGCCUUGGUUCUCCGUUCAUUAGGACUUAGAUGCAUAUUCUCAAACAUUUGGGGGGCUUACACACACACACACACACACACACACAUGCAAUACGGCUUUCGCAGAGGUUAUGUUAGUAUGGUUUUGUUUUUUUACAACAAAGUAGACAGCUCAAGGGCACAAAAAAAGGAAACAAUAAUAAAAAAUAAAAAAAGCCCGCUACUCGCUGCUCCAUGGGUAGUUUUAUGAACCUAGUGAUAGUUUGACAAGUUCCUACACCAUGAAUAUGAAGAAAAAAAAUCAUGGGAACCCGCUUAAUCUCCUUUAUGGUCUUUGGAUAUAUUCGUUGUGAGAGCCGAGAGCGUGUGUGAAAAGUGUGAAUACGGGUUGCUGCAUUGAUGACCUUGUAGCUGGUUAUGACUGCGUGGGUGUGUCUGAUCAGGUGUACAGGAAGCAAACACACCUCCAAGUCACCUCCAAUGUCAUCCUGUUUCGUCCUCUCCCUUCCGUGAUGUUGUGUUCUCUAUGGCCAGGUAUCUCACUUCCCUCUCUUCCGUGAUGUUGUGUUCUCUAUGGCCAGGUAUCUCACUUCCCUUGCCCUUCCGUGAUGUUGUGUUCUCUAUGGCCAGGUAUCUCACUUCCCUUGCCCUUCCGUGAUGUUGUGUUCUCUAUGGCCAGGUAUCUCACUUCCCUCCCCCUUCCGUGAUGUUGUGUUCUCUAUGGCCAGGUAUCUCACUUCCCUCCCCCUUCCGUGAUGUUGUGUUCUCUAUGGCCAGGUAUCUCACUUCCCUUGCCCUUCCGUGAUGUUGUGUUCUCUAUGGCCAGGUAUCUCACUUCCCUCCCCCUUCCGUGAUGUUGUGUUCUCUAUGGCC